ACUAUGAACUUUAUGGUUCAGACUGGGGACGCCCUUUCCCCAUCACAUGCCAUUUUAAAAUUAUUAUUAUAAAGACAGGUCCAUCCAAGUCUAUCCACCCGAUUGGUGUGUCUGAUGUCACGGCAGUGGUCCACCCACCCAUCAGGUGUCAAUAUUCAGCAUAGCGACACAGUACCCAUACAGUUUGGGAAGUCACUUUACUAGGAUCCCCCAGAUCCCUCCUCCUCCUCUUCCACGGCCUUCAUCCUCCUCGCCUAGCAUUAAUUCCUUUAUGGCAUCACCCUGUUGUAUAACACCUUUGAUGGCUUUCAUGUGGAAUCAUUGUUCCAUCCUUAAAGACCCACAAGACGUCAGCAGAUUGUUAGCAACCAUCAAGUGCUGACAUUGGCUCUCCAGUCUUCGCCACUGCUUUUACAGUAGGAUUCAUCUUGGCUGCCCGAGCGUCCUUGCAAAUUCAAAACUCACCCUAAGGUGUCUGCAUUUAAGAUGUCAGCCCACAAGCCAGAACCUCAACCUGGACAACAACAUGGACUCCACAAAACCGCAGCUCAGCGCAGGGAAUAGCGAUACGCCCUCCAUCAACAUCAAGGGUCUUGUGCCACCAAACCGGAACCAUUUGUAGGUGAGUUAAAUAAGCCACAAUGUGAACUUGGCUAUUUUCAGAUCCAUUCUCCAUAUGUGCAUCUUGCAUGAAGCUUUACAAUUUCAAAAAACAUGUUUUAUAUAUAUAUAUAUACACAUAUUUGGCUUGGAUUUUGUCUAAACUCACUUUGUGGAAAAAAUAGUGCAAAAUAUAUAUAUAUAGUAUAUCAAUAUUCACCCCAAAUAUAUGGCGAUAUGGGGUUUUGGUCCAUUUAUUGCCCAGUCCUAUUAAUACUUGUAUGGCAGGUUUUUUUUAAACAUGCUAGUAUUUUGUCAAAAUGUUGUACAGAAAUAUACGUAUACAUGUGUAUAAUAUAAUAUAUACACACACACGUGUGUUUGUAAAUUGUGUUUAUUAUAUAGUAGCUAUUAGUACAGUUUUAUAGUAUAUAAUGCAACUUUUUUUAAUGGACUAAACCGUUUGUUUUGUUGAAUAAAAGGAGACGAAAUGUUUUACAUUUAAUCCACUAAAACUCACAUAGAACUGACUAAACUAAGAAUUUUUAUCCAAAAGUAAAAUGGCUGCCAAAAGCAAAAUGGAAGUAAAGUUGUACAUUGAGUAUUUCAAUAUGUGUAUGAAAAUCCCUCACCACGUUUGCUUUGAAUUUCAAUUUUUUUCCAAAAUGUAUUAAUAGUAAUAGUAAAAAAAACUAAUUUGACUGACGCAUUGUCAUGGGUAAAAAUGGCAAAACAAAUACAAGGCAUUCAAGACGCAUUCAAAGACGUGGUGCUACAUAGUAUUUUACACUGGUCACUAGGUGUCAGUAAUGCCACCACAAGAAGUACUGUACAGAACAGGAAGUUUCAAAAAAAGGAAUUCUCCUAUUGCUCUUAUUUUCUCUUCUGCCUGCCCCCCCAUUGGAUAACGGAGUAGUGUGUUACUAGAUGUCUACAGGGCACUAGGUACCAGGGUACACUAGGUAACAGGGUGUGGUACCAAAUACCCGCACGAAACAAAGUAUUACUGUAUUGUCCGAUUCUUUUUGAGAGUUACAACAAGCAAAUGGUACCGAUUGGAAAUGGCCAUGAAUGGAGUUAGUAAACUUUAGUCUUACCUUGAAAAGUGGUGCACUGUGGGCUUUCUUGAGGGACUCUUCCAGACUGAAAGCGAAAAGGACCUCAGCCUCAGCAUCCCUGAGUAUGUGGCUCUGCUCAUCUGGAACACCAAGGUAGGAAGUCUUAAUUAAACAUGCCAUGUGCUAACCAGCCAGUAGCGCUUUCUUCAAGGGACGAGCACGUACCAACAAAUGUCUGCCCCCUCCAACUCUCUUCUAGCCACUCGGGGCUGACCACGUGUUUGACCACAGACAUGGCGGUGAGGAACUUGACGGUGCGCUUGACUUUACUCGCCAUCAGAGGGACACAUUUCCCAACAUAACUAGUGAGCUGAAGGAGACUUGCGUAGAUGAGAAGAAACUGGUGUGUGUAACUACUGACAGCGGACCUAAUGCUGUAAAAGAUCAGGACAGUGUUGCUGCGGCACAGGUACCCCGUAUAUCUGGCACCCGCCAAGUACGCCAUCAACUUCAGGUCAUCUCUGUCAGCGUCCACAAAACCCGUCACGGACACAAUCUGAGAGGAGGAAAGGUAAGCAAAAGGGCAAAAAAAAUUGGGCUUCAUGAUCAGAAGAUGAAGGUUCACAUGGUAAAACAAUCUCGGCAUCCGAUCUUCUAUGCCAGGGGUCGGGAACCUUUUUGGCUAAGAGAGCCAUGAAGGCCAGAUAUUUUAAAAUGUGUAUCUGUGAAAGCCAUAUAAAUGUUUUUAAACAUUGAAUGCAAUAAAAUGUGUGCAUUUUUAUGUAAGACCAACAGUUUUAGAUAUAAUGGGCUCCAAUUAUGUAGACCAGGCACACUACCCCACGCCAAUGGGGUGUGGCCAGCACACUUUUGUGAGCAGCGCAGUGUCCAACAAUAAAUCAAAUACUUGCUGCCAUUAAUACAACUUCUGCUGCUGCAUAAUUUUGCACCAUACUCAGUAUAUUUCAUUCUUUUGGCCAUCUUUGCCAGAAGGCUUGGUUCUGCAGCUUUAGCUAGGUGACUAUUUGACUAAAGGAGGAAAGUCUAUAUUUACAUGUUGACAUCUCAAUGACCGAGGUAGACUACCGCAUUACCCAGUAAUCGAGUUUUGGUGUUUGACCUGGAAAAUAUCUUCAAGAAAGAUGGAUAUGGUCAGCCGUAUUGCAGUAGAAAAUAGAUGGAUCGAUUAAAAUGCAUAAGAAAGUUGUUAAUUUUGAAUAUUAUUUUUAACAGUCAUUUCUGUGAUGGUUUACUUUAAAAUGUUAGCAAAAAUAAUUUUUUUUAUUGUGGUAAGAAAUGCUUGAGAGCCAGAUACAGUCAUCAAAAGAGCCCUACCUGGCUCCCGAGCCAUAGGUUCCCUACCUCUGUUCUAUGCCUUCAGUCGUUACUCAGUGAAGCAUAAAGACACAAACAUGACAAAAUGGCCACCUUUUUUAACAGUGGCGCAUGCAUUCAAUCUGCAUGCAUUCAAUUCAAUCACAUAUCUAUUGAAUUACAGUGCAUGAGACACUAUUUUGAUGAUAAAUGUGUGAAUUUGCUACGCGAGAAGGCUGAAUUCUGUAUUGAGGGUCAAAUUACUAAAUUAAUACCUAUUUUAUAUUUCAUAAAGUGUCCUUUUGAAGCAUCCUUACAUUAUUGACCUGAUUAGAAUAUGAUAAAUGUAAACAGUACAUUGCAUUAACAUUCCCUUCAUAUGCUGUCGCUGCACCUACAUGUUGAGAGCAGGGCUUGGCUCCAGGAGGAAAUGCGAAGGGCAAAUGUAGCGUUCGAUGAGGGGGUACCAUCCUCUUCCUUUUCAGCACAGUGUUGAGCCAGUGUGCUGUGACGCAGCGUUUUCCCUCUCUGAGGGCCUGGGAGGGAAAGCACCGACAACCACAAUGACAAGCAUGUCACCCAACAUUCAGCACAGAAAACAUUUUUCUUCAUCGCUCCCGACUCCUAUUUGUAUGUAACAAAUUCAAAUGGAUCAAUAAGCUGAAGAAACAAGGGUGGUCUCAUUUAGGAGAUGAUCAUCAUUGAUCUGAUGUAUUUAAUUGGCAAAGUAAGAAUGUCAUUGCUCAGUGUUACACGGUGGUACCGUGUUUGUGCUAACAUGGUGACUCUUACCUGCACAUACAUGUUGCUGACCUGACUCUCGCACAGCAGGUGUGUACAGCGGCCAGUCAGAGUGGAGUCAACAGUGCCGCCACAAGCCUGGAUCACCUGCAGAGAAGGAAAGUCCACAAAAAUAUAAACACAUGAGCCUUCGUGUAAUCGUUGGACACAUUUUUACAUUUCAACAAUCAUUUAAAUUCUUCCUUUUUAACGCUAACUGCCCCCACAUUUCCCAACCACUUGAAACUAUUCCAACAUCAAAAUGUUCAGCUCAUUCAGGACAUAUAGGCCAUCAAUCAGAUUUUAAUUUUCUACAAAUUGACAAUUUUUUUUCCAUUUCCGAUAUUGACAUUUUAUCCAUUGGAAAUCAAUGAACAAUUUCAAUGGAAAUUCAUUUUACAUUCCAUUUAAUUCUGUGUACGGGGGCACGGCUCAGGUCAUAGAGUGGUCGUCUCCCAGCCUGAUGAUGGUAGCUGGUUCAAUCCUCAGUCGGUGAACUCAUUCAACAUUUUAGCUUCAGCAUUGCCAUCCAAUUUGUACUGACACUGCUUCAUCUUAAUAGUAUUAGUACUGUAAACAUUUUAUUUUACCCCAUAUAAACCAAGGGCACAUUCUCAAAAAACCAGUAGCCAGAAAAACCAGUGUACCAAUCUUACCCUUUUCCAUGUGGAUAGAAGUUGUUUGUCGGCCAUCUGCUCUGGGUAGUCAGCAAUGGCAAACACGCACCCCAGCAAGAAGCCAUCCUGUGGUACUGCGGGACAGAACGUGUCAUGUGCAAAGAGCAGUGCAAAAGUGCAAACAUGUGCAAUGAAAAUGUAUUACAUACAGGACCUGGAAUCAAAACUACAGAUUAUAGAUAUCGGUGCUACAAUAACAGUUACUAUUCCUUAACAGUAACAAAGUGAUCAUUUGUAUAAUAAGUAUUUAAAAUGGCCUGUGUUUGUGUAUGUACCUCCAAAAGAGGAGGACCAAUGCCAGUGGCGCUACGUACAAUACCCUGAGUGGAGUUUACAAAGAUCACUUGUGAGAUUUCUGGAUACGACACAUUAUUUUUGAUGGGUUCAUCCUCUGGACUUCAUAAGAACCAGAGUACAGUGGCACCUUUGGGGCCGCUUUUGAGUCAUAGUGCCUGGAUUUUCCGGGUUCCAGGUACGCCUGCAAUUUUAUACGUAACAUGUCCUUUUGUUUUCUUUUACAUCCCAGAUUUGGCAAUCUUGGCGGUAUAUUUAAGAGUUGUCACAGGGUUAGAAGUUUGAAGAAAAAAGUAGAUAACGCUAACUGUGGAGCAAUUGCAUUAGUCAACCAUGUUGUGUGCAUGUUUUUAAGAAAAAGCCCAGUAUACAGUAUAACAGUAUACUCACUUUCUGUUCCUUGCUCGUGUCCAAACAGGGAGACAUGAGCAGGCUGCUGCAGCUGCAAAGUCUGCUGCUGCUGCUGCUGUUGCUGCUGCUGCAGGGCCUGCUGGUUCUGAUGCUGCACAGCCUGCUGAUGGUGGUUUUGCAGCUGCUGCUGUUGCUGCAUCUGCUGGAUGUGUUGCUGCUGUUGCAGGAAGUGUUGUUGCUGUAAAUGCUGUUGGUGUAACUGCUGCUGAUUUUGUUGUUGCUGUUGCUGUUGCUGCUGCUGUUGCUGCUGCAAUAUCUGCAUGCGUUGUUGCUGUUGGAAUUGCUGCAGCUGCUGUUGCAGGGCUUGUUGCUGCUGCAACUGCUGGACACCGGGACGCAGGAGCUGCGGAGGGCGCAGCUGCUGCUGAGGGAAGGCAUGUUGCUGUUGCUGUGAAAACAUCUGCUGUUGGUGCAUUUGCUGCUGCUGUUGCUGCUGCUGUUGUUGUUGCUGAAGGAAUUGAUGCUGUUGCUGGGGAAACAACUGCUGCUGUGUGGCCUGGGACUGUUGGUGAUGUAGCUGCAUCAUCUGAUGCUGCUGUUGCUGCUGCUGGAGUUGCAUCAUGGGGUGUUGCUGUUGUUGGGGUAACUGUUGGUGGUGUUGUUGGUGCGACUGUUGCAUUAACUGCUGUUGCUGUUGCACGGUGAGGGGCUGUCCCGUCAUUUUGGACUGACUGAAAAGAAGAGCGUUGGUAGCGUUGGGAGUCUGGGAAUGGCUCUGACUGGUCUGGUGCUCUAAUGGCUUCCCCUGAUUCAAAUUCUGGAUAAUCUGCGACAAGGCAACCAAGUAUACAUGAAUAAAUACAACUCAUGACGUGUAACAGGUUUCCAAAAACGUUGGAGAAUGUCUUACAUGAGCUACAUUGGCGGGUCGAAUGGUGGGCUGCAUGUCAGAGUUGUUGGUAAUGUUCCUCAGCGUUCUCGCUGCUGGGCUCCAACCAGGGAUACCCUCUGACAGUGAUACAGUUCCUAAAAAGGGACAAAGGAUUCAUCACAGGUUAUGGUUGCAAACUACUCAUUAUAUCAUGUUAGGUCUGCAAGGAACAAUUAUUUUCUUAGCCCUUUCUUAACCCUUUCGACGGCUAAAGCUAAGACGCUUUGUCUUCCUGAACGUAGUGGGACGGUGGAGCUUCAUAAGCAGCGUGCCAUUGCUGCUGAGCUUGGACGCAGUCAGUCAUUGUAAACUUUUGGAGAGAUCCUGAGCAUUACAGAACAGACCCCAAAAAAUACACCUGCACUGAGCCAAAAGAUGGGAAAAUUAAGGCAAAAUGAAGGGCCUUCCUGGUGCCGACAUCUGCUGGAACAGGGCAGGGCUCUACAUUAAAAACAAAAAUGACUUGCCCAUGGGGAAUCCUUAAGGUGAGAACUACUUGCCCGAACUUGCCCCAUGUAAAAUGAAAAGACUACCAUAAUGAUAUCAUCUCAUUUACUAUAUACUACCUUACACAUGGUAGUCGUAGUACGCCAGGGGUGGGCAAACUACGGCCCGGGGGCCACAUGCGGCCCACCAAGCGUUUGAAUCCGGCCCGCCAGUUGCUUUCUAAGUAACUUCAACUUUUAACAUACAAACUGGCAACAUGACUUGCAAGUCGGAUGUCUGAUUUAGUAAAAAAUAAACAACAAAACUGUCAAAUUAAAUGACAUAGUUUGAUGUGGUGUGAUGUUUAAAGUGCUCCUAAAAAAGGGACAUGAGAACAUACAACUGAUAUAGGAUAACACUUUUACAGAUAAAAUUAGACAAAUAAUUCAAGGAAAAUGAUAAGCAUAAAAUAGUGUGUGUGUGUUAAAUAUAUGUUCUGGCCCCCCAGACAAUUUUGUUAACUCAAUGCGGCCCUCGAGUCCAAAUAUUUGCCCACCCCUGUAGUACGCAGUGAAAUUUAUAAGUUGUGCACCACAAUGAAACAUUGAAUAGACACAUUUGUGUACUAGUAAAGUGUUUUGAAUCCAGAAAAAAAUGGUCAAACAAUAAUUUGUGAAGCAAAGGUGGGGAAAAAUACACAGAGAAAUGGAAGCGCUAGAUUUUGUAGCUUGUGCAAAAUCAGCACUUGGUAUUGGAUCUAAUCGGUGGUGUUUCAUUGUGACCACUUCAAAUUGUCACAGCAAUGUGAUUCACUCACCUGUGCCAUCAUUUGAUUUGAUGCCGCUAAUACAAUACUAGUUUAGGAGGCACUGGUUCAUCACUUUUUGCUGUUUCUUUUCCUUCACAAGUUGUUGAAGAAUUAGACCAUGUUGGCAGGGACGCCAUGAUAGAUGUUUUCCUAGUCAAACCAUCGCUGAAUGGUUGAUUGCCAACAAGAACGGGUGUGGGUAAAACGCGGACCGCCGUCGAAAUAAACGAUUCUGAUCGGUCCGUUUCAAGAUUUGCAAGGAUUGGCAGUAUGCAAACUUUUGGCAGUAUGGCAUGCCAAAGUGCACUUGCCCGACGGGAAUAUCACUGAUUGGAUUUACUUGCCCCAAUUUUGUUUUAACUUGCCCCGGGCCAUCGGUACAUCGUUAUUGUCGAGCCCUGCAGGGUUUCAAAAACAAAAAACUAAAUAAAAAAAACCUGGUCUCCUUUAACGCCACAAAACUGCCGGUUUAGACUUUGCCAUGGAGAAUGAAACAUGGGACAUUGAAGGGUGGAAAAAGUAAAACACAUCACGUAAUGUGUAGUGUAAGUAUAAGGAAUCGUUAUGCCUCCAUGCUGAACUGCAUGCUCCGUACCAACAAAAUCUGAUCCUGAAUAAAUGUACCAUUAUAAUAAUAAUAAUAAUAAUAUCCUUCUACAGAGUACAAACACUUUUACCUAUUCAAACUGUUAAAGGAGUAAAUUAUUUUUUUUAAAGCGUAAACAAAAUUCUUGCCACAUUCCAUUGUACAGAAACUGACCUUGUGUGGUUUGAUUGAUGGCAGCAGCAUUGCGAACAUCUCCUGGGAUGACUCCGCUGCCAGGUACCGGAGGAACAGUGGCACACAGGUUGAUCAGCCCGCCCCCAGUAGAGGACACCGGGUCCUUGCUGCCAGGCGGUCCACUUCGCCUCCUGGCCGUGCCUGCCGAAAAGGGGGGCGUUGGCGCAACCACCUCCGCUGGAGUCCAGUUGAGGUUGGUACCCUCCUUCUCUGCAGGCAAGUCAUCAUCGGAGUCAUCAAACAUGCGCUCACUGCGACAUUCGGGUUUCCGCGGAGACGACGGGGAGAUGGAGUUGAGUUUUUUGGGGCCUGGUCGCCUGUGGGGACUGGACUCGUCGGACGAGCCACCGCUAGACAUCCUGGAGCGCUGGGGGCUGUAGCUUCCGUCGGAAUGUGAACGCUGGUCAUAUGAAUCUGGCUCACUCUCCUCCUCUUCAUCUGGCUCUACAUAGGUCAGCCGAGGGUGAUACAGCGCCUCAUCGCUCCGGCUUUGAGCUGUAAGGGAAUUUAAAGCCAAAUGUUUUUCAUCUACAGCAAAAACAAAGGAAUUUGAUUGACUGUCCUGAUUACGGAGUAGCCACAGCAGAUCUUGAUACAUAACAAAAAUAUUGUGAUGUAUGCCGAGGUCCAUAUCCACCAACCCUACUAGAUAUGUAGAUGGAUUUUCUUUGCUUCACAAAUGCUUCCGUUUCACAAUAAUUGUCACCCAAAUGCCACACUGUGCAACACUCAUGGUGAGACUUGAAGGUUACCUUUAACAGAAUCCAUAAUCCAGUCUGGGGUGACAAUCUUGAUGCCGUGGUGUUUCAGGGCACAUUCAAACUUGGCCUGGAGUGAAAAUUACAAAUGUGAUCAGUAGACAGAAAAAUGUCAAAGAUUGAAAUUCACUUACUUUUGAAAGCAGACAGUAGCACGGCAAAGCCAACGUGAACAAAUAUAGUAUAGUAAUAAUGGUGCACAAUGUGACAAUAGCUGCUCUAUAGGAGUCCAGGAGAAUACUGAGGGCCCAAAAAUGAAAAAUGAUAAUAUUCACACAUUUUAAAAACUUUUCAAAAUGUUAUAUUUUUACAUUUUCUGUGAUUUUAAAAGGCUUUUAGACAUUUUAAGUCCUUAAAUUAUGAUUGGAUUUUGAGUCUUUAAUCCCCUGUGGUUACCCUUUUUAAUUUUCAAAACCUACUGAAAACCUUUGAGAUUUUAUGAAUAUUUUCUACCUUUUAAUGCUUUAAAUUAAGGAUUUCAGACAUUUUAAGACCUCAUGGAUACUCCAGUGUAUAAAUUUUUAAGACCCCUCAAAAUCAGAAUUAAAACUUUUUUUUUUCUUAUUUACAACACUUCAGACUUCAAAUGGGACCUAUUAUGCUCAUUUUCCGGCCCUUCAUACGAGUAGUGGACUCCUAUAGAGAAGCUACACACCAUAACCAGCACACAAAGCUUUCUAGAUCUUCCACAAUCUGGACUAAAACAGUCCAGUGGGAAAUGCCGUCGACAAAUUAAAAUGUGUAAAAAUGAGUGAAUUAAGUAUUCGAUCUGCAAUAAAACAGUAAGCAUUCAUGGUUAAACACAGCGCUUCCACUCACCCCCUUUGGUUCCGUCACCACCAAGUGUGUCACUUUUUUGUUGAGGUUCAGCUGACAUUCCCCACCAUAAAAAGUUAUGUACGCCCACAAUGCAUUGAGAUCCUCUGGAAGCUAUGGAUGAAGCAGAAACAGGAAGAUGAAUAACAGCAUUUGGACAUAUUGUAAGAAAAUCGAUCACGGUUUCUACUAGUGGCCAAACUUUCCAUUGGUGGGCCAAAAUGGGCACUAAAAUUUGUCCAGACCCGGGACCAGAAAUAGAUUAAUAGAAUAUUGUGUGAACUAUUUUGCUUGACUACAUGCUUUUUGAAAACAAAAACAGCAAAACAGGAAAACCAUCUGUAAGGAACACCCAAAUGUCGGACUGUAAUUCUGUAAUUUGCCCAUGCCUGACCUAACCCCCCCUCCGCAACAUUUCCGUAAUGAUACAUUGAAGAGAAGGAAAUCAACUUGAGACUUUAUAUUCCUUGCGGCGCCUGUUCCCAAACUGCAGGGGGCACCUACUCAAAAAGGCACUAAGGUGCUAAACUAGAGCAGAAGAAGUUUGCAAAUGUUUACUCGACUUCCAACAUAGCAUCACUUGGCGUCUGCUUCUUGAAGAGGAAUUGUGUUGUAUUUGCUGCUGGUGUGCUUGUCCAAAAAAUUACAUAAUUUGUCCACACGGGCCGCACAGACCUUGUGAAUGCGGGAAGCAUAAAAGGGCUUUACUCACCCGAGGAAGACAGGCGGUCACUCCAAAGAAGAUUUGUCCAGAUUCAGGAGAGAAGCCCGUGACUCUGGGGGGGUUACUGGUUAGGGAAACAAUCUCUAGUAACAUUUUCACAAGUUUCUGCUCCAUGAAAAGUAACUCCUGAAGACAAACAUCUGUGGAAAUACUAUGACUACAUUUUGAAACUUUUUGGGGUGAUAGAGAAGCUGGAACCUGAUGCUUAGAAGGAUACGGCAACAGGUCUCCACAUCGGACCGAGAGAAUCACCCAGGAUGGCUGGAAAACACGAGUGAUGUUUCUGAGUUAAUCAAAUUCACUGCAUCCAUGCCUGUAUAUGCGGUCCUCAGGUUACGUAUGAGUUCUGUUCCUAGGCUGUGAUGUAAGCCACUCACACUAAAUGCAUUAAUAAACCACUAAUAAACACAAGCAUUAAAUGAAAAACGAUUCCCAAGGAAAUUUUGAUGGGCAUGCCAUCUGUUGUGAACCUCUGGCUUGGUGUUUGAGGUAAAAUGUUUUUUAACAAAUUCUAAUAAUGCUAUUAGCUAGCACAGGGGUCGGUCAAAAACGAUUCCCAAGGAAAUUUUGAUGGGCAUGCCAUCUGUUGUGAACCUCUGGCCUGGUGUUUGAGGCCGACGGUCUAAAAUGUUUUUUAACAAAUUCUAAUAAUGCUAUUAGCGAGCACGGGGGUCGGUCACUCUGCAUGUGCGAGAGUGAGCAUCUUCUCAACUAUGAACCCUCUUUGUACCAGCAGGGCUACACAAGUGCUAGCAGUUAGCAAGCAGACGAGUAUAUGAAUGACGGCACCAAGGCGAUAGUUUGUAAGCCAAAUUCCACAAUUCCAGUGUGGCCUUCCUCCCGAAAACACGUACAGAAGCUUUUGAUUGGCGGAGUAAAUAUUAAGCCACAGAGCGCAGCCACAGAGCGCACUACUACAAGCUGUGUGUGUAAAGGUUUUAUGGAAGUGGGUUAUGUAGCGUCACUGGGAGGACUUGUUUCCCAGAGUGCUUUGCUCUUCAAGGCUGGAAAGCACAUGGUUAGAACUCACAUAGUAGUUGGUUAAUAUUUCGCAUUAUAUAUUGCAGUAUAUAGUCUGUUUUUAUCCACCUAUUGUGUUGUAUUAUACACGUAUAUUGUUCAGCCUUUACAUGUCCGCCUUGUACAUGAGCAACACAGCAUGUAUCUGUUCUAUUUAUCUGACACCAUGACUAUAGCUUGUGUAUUGUGCUCUACCACCCGCUUUCCAUGUGAUUAGCAUACAUUUCAAUACUCUGUGCUAAAAGUGUCUUUUAGCACUAGGUUUGAGCAAAAGAUUGUAUAAGAACAUUCUGUCAUUGUUAACAAUGUUGUGAUGUGACUUUGCAAUCCAAAAUCAAAGCUACUAAAAACAAACAUUUUAAAAAAAAGGCUUCAGUUUGUUCAGUCCCUAAGUGACUUUUCACCAGCAGAGGGCGCCAUUUAAAUUGCCUAUUCAUUUUCAAUGGGACCAUUUUCACAGAAAAUAUGAAAUGACACUAAAUAUGGGAAUAUAUUGAAGAGUCUGAAUAGAUGGAUUUGUUUGAAGUAGUUAAGAAAUGGAGGAGUAGUUGGCAGACAAAAAAUUGGGCGGAUUAAGAAGUGGGAAGAAAAAGAUGGGGAAUAAAUAGAUGAACAUGGCCGACUACAAUAACAUACGUGUGAAUGAAUGCAUUCACACAAUGAGAAUAACAUUUACAAGAAAAAGGUUGAACUAGUUGGAGAAAUCAGCUGUAAUUUUAUGAGAAUAAAGUGUAAAUAUUAAGAGAUAGAAAUUGUAUUCUAACAAGAAAAAAGGCUAAAUUUUACAAGAAUAAACUUGCAAUAUUAAGAGGAAAAAAUAAUGUAAUUUUAAUAGCAUAGCGUUGAAUUA